ACCUGGCUGGCUCAGUUGGUGGAGCAUGCAACUCUUGAUCUUAGGGUUGUGAGUUCAAGCCCCACGUUGGGUG
rnacentral:tRNA from 1 species